GAUGAACGCUGGCGGCGUGCCUAAUACAUGCAAGUCGAGCGAACAGACGAGGAGCUUGCUCCUCUGACGUUAGCGGCGGACGGGUGAGUAACACGUGUAUAACCUACCUAUAAGACUGGGAUAACUUCGGGAAACCGGAUCUAAUACCGGAUAAUAUAUUGAACCGCAUGGUUCAAUAGUGAAAGACGGUUUUGCUGUCACUUAUAGAUGGAUCCGCGCCGCAUUAGCUAGUUGGUAAGGUAACGGCUUACCAAGGCAACGAUGCGUAGCCGACCUGAGAGGGGGAUCGGCCACCCUGGAACGGAGACACGGUCCAGGCUCCUACGGGAGGCAGCAGUAGGGAAUCUUCCGCAAUGGGCGAAAGCCUGACGGAGCGACGCCGCGUGAGUGAUGAAGGUCUUCGGAUCGUAAAACUCUGUUAUUAGGGAAGAACAAAUGUGUAAGUAACUAUGCACGUCUUGACGGUACCUAAUCAGAAAGCCACGGCUAACUACGUG
rnacentral:rRNA from 1 species